CCUACGGGUGGCAGCAGUGAGGAAUAUUGGUCAAUGGACGAGAGUCUGAACCAGCCAAGUAGCGUGAAGGAUGACUGCCCUAUGGGUUGUAAACUUCUUUUAUAUGGGAAUAAAAUGUUCCACGUGUGGGAUUUUGUAUGUACCAUAUGAAUAAGGAUCGGCUAACUCCGUGCCAGCAGCCGCGGUAAUACGGAGGAUCCGAGCGUUAUCCGGAUUUAUUGGGUUUAAAGGGAGCGUAGGUGGAUUGUUAAGUCAGUUGUGAAAGUUUGCGGCUCAACCAUAAAAUUGCAGUUGAAACUGGCAGUCUUGAGUACAGUAGAGGUGGGCGGAAUGCGUGGUGUAGCGGUGAAAUGCUUAGAUAUCACGAAGAACUCCGAUUGCGAAGGCAGUUCACUGGACUGCAACUGACACUGAGGCUCGAAAGUGUGGGUAUCAAACAGGAUUAGAUACCCUGGUAGUC
rnacentral:rRNA from 1 species